AACGCACGAGACCUGCGGACCUGCGGAGGGAUCAUUACUGUGCGCCGGAGUCCGGGCGGCCCUCGCCCGGUCCUCCUCGACACGUGUCUACCGAAUCCGAUGUUGCCUCGGCGGGCCCGCCGCCCCGUCCGACGGGGUGGCCGCCCGGGGAUGAGAGUCCUCGGGCCCGCGCCCGCCGGUGGAACCGUCCGAACCCUCUGUGAAAACGUCUGAGUGGGCUUAUUUGGAAAUGAAACUGAA
rnacentral:misc_RNA from 1 species